rnacentral:rRNA from 1 species
CCUACGGGGGGCAGCAGUGGGGAAUAUUGGACAAUGGGUGCAACCCUGAUCCAGCCAUGCCGCGUGUGUGAAGAAGGCCCUCGGGUUGUAAAGCACUUUCAGUGAGGAAGAACGCCUGGUGGUUAAUACCCAUCAGGAAAGACAUCACUCACAGAAGAAGCACCGGCUAACUCCGUGCCAGCAGCCGCGGUAAUACGGAGGGUGCGAGCGUUAAUCGGAAUUACUGGGCGUAAAGCGCGCGUAGGUGGCUUGAUAAGCCGGUUGUGAAAGCCCCGGGCUCAACCUGGGAACGGCAUCCGGAACUGUCAAGCUAGAGUGCAGGAGAGGAAGGUAGAAUUCCCGGUGUAGCGGUGAAAUGCGUAGAGAUCGGGAGGAAUACCAGUGGCGAAGGCGGCCUUCUGGACUGACACUGACACUGAGGUGCGAAAGCGUGGGUAGCAAACAGGAUUAGAUACCCUUGUAGUC